rnacentral:rRNA from 1 species
GGGUUGUGAGGUUAAGCGACUAAGCGUACACGGUGGAUGCCCUGGCAGUCAGAGGCGAUGAAGGACGUGCUAAUCUGCGAUAAGCGUCGGUAAGGUGAUAUGAACCGUUAUAACCGGCGAUUUCCGAAUGGGGAAACCCAGUGUGUUUCGACACACUAUCAUUAACUGAAUCCAUAGGUUAAUGAGGCGAACCGGGGGAACUGAAACAUCUAAGUACCCCGAGGAAAAGAAAUCAACCGAGAUUCCCCCAGUAGCGGCGAGCGAACGGGGAGCAGCCCAGAGCCUGAAUCAGUGUGUGUGUUAGUGGAAGCGUCUGGAAAGGCGCGCGAUACAGGGUGACAGCCCCGUACACAAAAAUGCACAUGCUGUGAGCUCGAUGAGUAGGGCGGGACACGUGGUAUCCUGUCUGAAUAUGGGGGGACCAUCCUCCAAGGCUAAAUACUCCUGACUGACCGAUAGUGAACCAGUACCGUGAGGGAAAGGCGAAAAGAACCCCGGCGAGGGGAGUGAAAAAGAACCUGAAACCGUGUACGUACAAGCAGUGGGAGCACGCUUAGGCGUGUGACUGCGUACCUUUUGUAUAAUGGGUCAGCGACUUAUAUUCUGUAGCAAGGUUAACCGAAUAGGGGAGCCGAAGGGAAACCGAGUCUUAACUGGGCGUUAAGUUGCAGGGUAUAGACCCGAAACCCGGUGAUCUAGCCAUGGGCAGGUUGAAGGUUGGGUAACACUAACUGGAGGACCGAACCGACUAAUGUUGAAAAAUUAGCGGAUGACUUGUGGCUGGGGGUGAAAGGCCAAUCAAACCGGGAGAUAGCUGGUUCUCCCCGAAAGCUAUUUAGGUAGCGCCUCGUGAAUUCAUCUCCGGGGGUAGAGCACUGUUUCGGCAAGGGGGUCAUCCCGACUUACCAACCCGAUGCAAACUGCGAAUACCGGAGAAUGUUAUCACGGGAGACACACGGCGGGUGCUAACGUCCGUCGUGAAGAGGGAAACAACCCAGACCGCCAGCUAAGGUCCCAAAGUCAUGGUUAAGUGGGAAACGAUGUGGGAAGGCCCAGACAGCCAGGAUGUUGGCUUAGAAGCAGCCAUCAUUUAAAGAAAGCGUAAUAGCUCACUGGUCGAGUCGGCCUGCGCGGAAGAUGUAACGGGGCUAAACCAUGCACCGAAGCUGCGGCAGCGACGCUUAUGCGUUGUUGGGUAGGGGAGCGUUCUGUAAGCCUGUGAAGGUGUGCUGUGAGGCAUGCUGGAGGUAUCAGAAGUGCGAAUGCUGACAUAAGUAACGAUAAAGCGGGUGAAAAGCCCGCUCGCCGGAAGACCAAGGGUUCCUGUCCAACGUUAAUCGGGGCAGGGUGAGUCGACCCCUAAGGCGAGGCCGAAAGGCGUAGUCGAUGGGAAACAGGUUAAUAUUCCUGUACUUGGUGUUACUGCGAAGGGGGGACGGAGAAGGCUAUGUUGANNNNNNNNNNNNNNNNNNNNNNNNNNNNNNNNNNNNNNNNNNNNNNNNNNNNNNNNNNNNNNNNNNNNNNNNNNNNNNNNNNNNNNNNNNNNNNNNNGGCCGGGCGACGGUUGUCCCGGUUUAAGCGUGUAGGCUGGUUUUCCAGGCAAAUCCGGAAAAUCAAGGCUGAGGCGUGAUGACGAGGCACUACGGUGCUGAAGCAACAAAUGCCCUGCUUCCAGGAAAAGCCUCUAAGCAUCAGGUAACAUCAAAUCGUACCCCAAACCGACACAGGUGGUCAGGUAGAGAAUACCAAGGCGCUUGAGAGAACUCGGGUGAAGGAACUAGGCAAAAUGGUGCCGUAACUUCGGGAGAAGGCACGCUGAUAUGUAGGUGAAGUCCCUCGCGGAUGGAGCUGAAAUCAGUCGAAGAUACCAGCUGGCUGCAACUGUUUAUUAAAAACACAGCACUGUGCAAACACGAAAGUGGACGUAUACGGUGUGACGCCUGCCCGGUGCCGGAAGGUUAAUUGAUGGGGUCAGCGCAAGCGAAGCUCUUGAUCGAAGCCCCGGUAAACGGCGGCCGUAACUAUAACGGUCCUAAGGUAGCGAAAUUCCUUGUCGGGUAAGUUCCGACCUGCACGAAUGGCGUAAUGAUGGCCAGGCUGUCUCCACCCGAGACUCAGUGAAAUUGAACUCGCUGUGAAGAUGCAGUGUACCCGCGGCAAGACGGAAAGACCCCGUGAACCUUUACUAUAGCUUGACACUGAACAUUGAGCCUUGAUGUGUAGGAUAGGUGGGAGGCUUAGAAGUGUGGACGCCAGUCUGCAUGGAGCCGACCUUGAAAUACCACCCUUUAAUGUUUGAUGUUCUAACGUUGACCCGUAAUCCGGGUUGCGGACAGUGUCUGGUGGGUAGUUUGACUGGGGCGGUCUCCUCCUAAAGAGUAACGGAGGAGCACGAAGGUUGGCUAAUCCUGGUCGGACAUCAGGAGGUUAGUGCAAUGGCAUAAGCCAGCUUGACUGCGAGCGUGACGGCGCGAGCAGGUGCGAAAGCAGGUCAUAGUGAUCCGGUGGUUCUGAAUGGAAGGGCCAUCGCUCAACGGAUAAAAGGUACUCCGGGGAUAACAGGCUGAUACCGCCCAAGAGUUCAUAUCGACGGCGGUGUUUGGCACCUCGAUGUCGGCUCAUCACAUCCUGGGGCUGAAGUAGGUCCCAAGGGUAUGGCUGUUCGCCAUUUAAAGUGGUACGCGAGCUGGGUUUAGAACGUCGUGAGACAGUUCGGUCCCUAUCUGCCGUGGGCGCUGGAGAACUGAGGGGGGCUGCUCCUAGUACGAGAGGACCGGAGUGGACGCAUCACUGGUGUUCGGGUUGUCAUGCCAAUGGCACUGCCCGGUAGCUAAAUGCGGAAGAGAUAAGUGCUGAAAGCAUCUAAGCACGAAACUUGCCCCGAGAUGAGUUCUCCCUGACCCUUUAAGGGUCCUGAAGGAACGUUGAAGACGACGACGUUGAUAGGCCGGGUGUGUAAGCGCAGCGAUGCGUUGAGCUAACCGGUACUAAUGAACCGUGAGGCUUAACCUUACAACGCCGAAGCUGUU